CUGAUCUCAUCAAUCUAGCGGGAGAGACAGGAUAACCUGUCCGAGAGUAUAGCGCCACUAUGACUCCGCCGGAAAAAUUACUUUAAAAAUCGCCAAAAAUUACUUGGAGCAAAGGGCAGUCGGCGGAGCUUCGCCAAGGCUGGCGCAGUCGGUUUAAUAAUGAUAGAAUGAAGACCACAAUAAAAGAGACCUCUACUUAGCUCAGCAAUUCUUACCUUUCUUACCUAUUUGAUGAAGAUGUCUUUUGAAAGGUGUACUGCAAGGAACAAAAUGUUUGUAAAUUCUCCUUUUACCAAGGUAAAGAUCAAAUUUUAUAAAUUUACUUGUUUGUUUAUACAAGGAAAAAUAACUUCAUAUAUUGAAUAUAUUCAAAAGUUUAAGCAUUUAGUUGUAUUGCCCUGUUAAGUUGGCAUAGCAAAUAAAUGCUUUUCUUUUCCUCAUUUUAUUCUUUGUGUUUCCUAACCUAUAGCACUGUGCUGGGCACAGAAUGGACUUCAGUUAAGUUUUUGAUGUAGAAAUGUUUUAUUAUUCUACUUAAAAUCUCCUUAAAAAUAAUUAUGCAUAUUACAUCAAUGUUAUAAUGUUUAAACAUAGAUUUUUUUACAUGCAUUCUUUUUUUCCUGAAAGAAAAUAUUUUUUAUAUUCUUUAGGCGCGAAUGUGUGUUUAAAAAAAAUAAAACCUUGGAGUAAAG
rnacentral:lncRNA from 1 species